rnacentral:rRNA from 1 species
UUAAAUUGAAGAGUUUGAUCAUGGCUCAGAUUGAACGCUGGCGGCAGGCCUAACACAUGCAAGUCGAACGGUAACAGAAAGCAGCUUGCUGCUUCGCUGACGAGUGGCGGACGGGUGAGUAAUGUCUGGGAAACUGCCUGAUGGAGGGGGAUAACUACUGGAAACGGUGGCUAAUACCGCAUAACGUCGCAAGACCAAAGAGGGGGACCUUCGGGCCUCUUG